UUACAACAUCGACUUAACAAGAAAAAAAAGUUUCACAACCUUGAAACACAUAACCAACAACAUCUAAACCGGCAACACGGGGCACUUCCAUAGUACAUACUAAUUCUAAAGUGACACUUGAACAAUACUCUUCUAUGAUUGGCUGGUUUUUUUUUUGUUUUUUUUCCAGAUUAGUGUCCUCGACACCGACUCUAUUACCCAAUAAAAAUUGGAUUGGUGGCCAUCGGCUCUUAACCCGAUAUCCCACCGCCGAUCGAUUGAUAUCACCCCGAUUCAUUGUUUUCUUCUCCAUUUGUUCAUUGUUUUACCUCCGUCCUCCUAUGUCUUCCCGAGUUCCAUCUUUGUCUAUUUCACUUCCCUUCUCUCAAUACUGAAGCACUGCUACUGGUAGCAUCCCACCACCUCACGAUGUCAGUCCACUUCUUCAUCUUCACCGUCAUUGCUUUAUUUUAAUCGAUGAUGUGCUGUUGUCAGCGACAAUAGAUUCGCUCCACUGAAUCAAUAUGUGAGCUUUGUCUCCGUGAAGGAGAAGCAAGAACAUUUUGAUUAGAUCGAUUCUCAUCAUAAAACCUCGAUUUCUUGCAACUCCAUCAAAAUUAUUGUACGAAUGCCCACCGCCUACGUUACGAAAACACUUCAGGUAAGUUGAUCACUUCCUCACCUCUCUUAUUUUCUGAUCAGAAUCUACCACCACCUCCAUUGAUUGCGGACGUUUAUUUGGUCUUCGAUCGACAAAAUCGCUCACUUCCACAGCUUGUCGCUUCUUCCGUUUUCUCCACCGGCUUCAGGAAUAACAUCCUUAUGGCCAUUAUCGACCGAUUCUUCUAUUCUACUUCUAUUCUUCUGCCGAGUACCUUGGACUUUACCACACCAUUUGUCUUCGUUUCCCUUUUCUGGCUUCCAAUUAAACGAUUACACUUUGAUUCUAGCGAGGUUACUCCACCGUUCAUCAUCUCCACCGCCUUAAUUAACUGUCACAUCGCUAAAACCCUCUCAAAUAGAUGGUUGGAACCCGCUCCUUCCACUCGCCUACCUACCAAAUCUCUUCUUCAACAUUCGUCGCUUGCUUCAUUGAGAUAUGGCAGAGGAUCGUUCUUCAUCCUUUAUUUUCUGUCCAUUUGGUUUUGUUGCUUAAGCCCUAAUUUGUAUUUGAAUAAAAAUCCGUCUUUGUUUCUUAAAUUCCACCAUCGAUGUUGAUGUUAUGUCAGAAGCUCCAAAAUCAGUCCCCACCAUGGAACCGUAACACUGUCAUUCCACAAUCGCCAUUGAAGCCGAGUUUAGUUUUUUUAUUGAAGAAUCGAUUGAGGCGUUAAAUCAAAGUUGUUCUACAUCUCUGAUUACAAGUCAUCUCCAUCUUCGUUUGCUUAUCUGCUUUCGGUAUAUUACUGAGGGUAUUGUCGUCCAUCGUUUCUAUCAUAAGAUUGGAGUCGCUACCAAAAGACUUCAGGGAGAAGAUUAAAGUGAAGAAAUAUUAUGCAGUUGCUAUGUUUCUUAUCUUUCUGAGUUAGAGACAUAUAUCAUAGAUCAUUAUGUAUUCUUAUUUUGACAAUUCAUGAUCUGAAAUGAAGGAAAUAAGAUUACUUUAUUGCAAUAGUUGGACAUAGUUGCCAAAGUUUGGAAUUGAAAUCAAAAUUAGUGAUCAAUUGAUGUGAUUUUCUUCCGUAUUGAACAUGAAACACGCUACAAGUGGACAUAUGAAUACAAACAGUAGUUGUAAGUUAUAGUUUAUAAUCUGGAUCUUUUUACCACUCAAAUCUCUACAUGUGGUAUGACUGUCGGUUGUUUAUAUUCAUCUUUGAUUACUGUGUGAUUUAUAAAAAAAUUAUAUAAUUCUAAGAUUAAAAGUUUGUCAAUAUCGUUGUAUAUUGCAAACACAUGUUUUUUCUUACACGAUUUCAUUUUUUUGUUCAAAUAUAUGAACCUAAUCUUUAUAACUUUUGUGUUUCUGUUUAUAUUAUAUUUGGAUGUGCACUCUCUAUUGACAGAAGCUCCUGUUGCAAAGGUUGUAUGAACUUAUACUGCGAAAUUAUACUCCCUUUUAGUGUGUUGUCUGCAAAUCCACAAUAUAUCAUGGUAUAAAGACUUGAAAAUUUGUGUAAUUUGAAUAGUUUGUGUAUGAUUAUUAAAGUUUAUUGUUAUUUUAAAGUUUAAAGUAAGGCCCAAAACUAAAAAUAGACAUGUAAAAAUGGAAAUAUUUUUCAAUCUAUACCUUUCCUGUAUUCAACAAGAUUUAGGUAAGUCUAUUUUUUUCUUUUUUGUAAUUUCAUUUUGUUUUAAAUCACUUCUACCCUUAUAUGAUCUUACAUUUUUUGAUAGGUUUUGUUCAUCGCUCUGCCAAAUACCCCAUCGGGUAUGUAUUGGUACUAUUUGAACCCCCGACCGAGCUGCAGUUCUGAUAUGUUCUUAUAUUUUUUGAUCACAAGACUAGAAUCAUUGUAUCCAAUGUAUUGAAACAUACAAUGUCGUGAAGAUUAACUUCCAACUUUGUGUAGCUACCAAAGAUUAAAUUGUAAAUUUAAUUGUAUCAAAUUAAAUUUUUAUGUUUCCUA